AGUGAACGCUGGCGGUAGGCCUAACACAUGCAAGUCGAACGGCAGCACAGUAAGAGCUUGCUCUUACGGGUGGCGAGUGGCGGACGGGUGAGGAAUACAUCGGAAUCUACUUUUUCGUGGGGGAUAACGUAGGGAAACUUACGCUAAUAUCGCAUAUGACCUACGGGUGAAAGCAGGGGAUCUUCGGACCUUGCGCGAUUGAAUGAGCCGAUGUCGGAUUAGCUAGCUGGCGGGGUAAAGGCCCACCAAGGCGACGAUCCGUAGCUGGUCUGAGAGGAUGAUCAGCCACACUGGAGCGGAGACACGGUCCAUGCGCCUGCGGGAGGCCGCAGUGGGGAAUAGUGGACAAUGGUCGCAAGCCUGAUCCAGCCAUACCGCGUGGGUGAAAAAGGCCUUCGGGUUGUAAAGCCCUUUUGUUGGGAAAGAAAAGCAUCAGGUUAAUACCCCGCUGUUCUGACGGUACCCAAUGAAUAAGCACCGGCUAACUUCGUG
rnacentral:rRNA from 1 species